AGUUUGAUCCUGGCUCAGAUUGAACGCUGGCGGCAUGCCUUACACAUGCAAGUCGAACGGUAACGCGGGGCAACCUGGCGACGAGUGGCGAACGGGUGAGUAAUGCAUCGGAACGUGCCCAGUAGUGGGGAUAGCUCGACGAAAGUCGAAUUAAUACCGCAUACGACCUAAGGGUNAAAGGGGGGGGAUCGCAAGACCUCUCGCUAUUGGAGCGGCCGAUGUCAGAUUAGGUAGUUGGUAGGGUAAAAGCCUACCAAGCCUAUGAUCUGUAGCUGGUCUGAGAGGACGACCAGCCACACUGGGACUGAGACACGGCCCAGACUCCUACGGGAGGCAGCAGUGGGGAAUUUUGGACAAUGGGCGCAAGCCUGAUCCAGCCAUGCCGCGUGCGGGAAGAAGGCCUUCGGGUUGUAAACCGCUUUUGUCAGGGAAGAAAAGCGCCAGGUUAAUACCUUGGCGUCAUGACGGUACCUGAAGAAUAAGCACCGGCUAACUACGUG
rnacentral:rRNA from 1 species